CCCUGAGUACAGUGGCGCACGGGUGAGUAACACGUGAAUGAUCUACCUCCGAGUGGGGAAUAACUGAGAGAAAUCUUAGCUAAUACCGCAUAACACUUACGAGUCAAAGCAGCAAUGCGCUUGGAGAGGAGUUCGCGGCCGAUUAGUUAGUUGGCGGGGUAAUGGCCCACCAAGACGAUGAUCGGUAUCCGGCCUGAGAGGGCGCACGGACACACUGGAACUGAAACACGGUCCAGACUCCUACGGGAGGCAGCAGUGGGGAAUUUUGCGCAAUGGGGGAAACCCUGACGCAGCAACGCCGCGUGGAGGAUGAAAUAUCUUGGUAUGUAAACUCCUUUCGAUGGGGAAGAUUAUGACGGUACCCAUAGAAGAAGCCCCGGCUAACUUCGUGCCAGCAGCCGCGGUAAUACGAGGGGGGCAAGCGUUGUUCGGAUUUAUUGGGCGUAAAGGGUGCGUAGGCGGUUUGGCAAGUCUUAUGUGAAAUCUAUGGGCUCAACCCAUAGCCUGCAUAAGANACUGCCGGGCUUGAGUAUGGGAGAGGUGAGUGGAAUUUCCGGUGUAGCGGUGAAAUGCGUAGAUAUCGGAAGGAACACCUGUGGCGAAAGCGGCUCACUGGACCAUAACUGACGCUGAUGCACGAAAGCUAGGGGAGCAAACAGGAUUAGAUACCCUGGUAGUCCUAGCCCUAAACGAUGAUUGCU
rnacentral:rRNA from 1 species